AGUGGACAUGGCCGAGGCCCGCGGUGUCCGCGUGUGGGAGCUGCAGGGCUGAGGAGAGGCCGCCCGCAACCCUCGGGAAUCGUGUGAGGUGCCACUGGGGUCGCUUCACAUCAGGAGGCCCCGUCUCGGGGGACGCGCGCAGUCCCUUUAUAGGCACAACUGCUUAAAGAAACCAGAUGGCCCCAGGAUGGUGCCAGAGCUUCCUGACCCCUUAUCAGAUACCAGAGGAAGAUAAGACUGCAGAGCGGAACAGGAUAGGCAACCCCUGAGACGAGGUCUCACUAUGUUGGCCAGGUUGGUCUCGAAUUCCUGGCCGCAAGCCGUUCUCCAGUCUGGGCCUCCCAAAGUGCUAGGAUUACAGGAACAGAAUUGCCAUUGGGCCCAGGGAGAGACUACACUUCUUGUCUGCUUUGUUGCUAGUGCGGCCUUGUGGCCAAGCACAGAACGUGUGCAGUGAUGAUGGUGCAACUUCUAGGUCGUCCCCAGCAUGGAAAAUGAGCCCUGGGCAUGGAAGAUGAGCCCUGGUCCUGCAGCGGUGCUCUUUCCUCUUCUCACAAGCUGGAAUGUGCAUGUGCUCCCACCCAGCUUUGACCAUGGGGCGAAAACAGUACUCUGCAGUCUGGCAGAGCAACAAGGUGGAAAGGGCCUGGGUCCUUGAGUGACGUCAUGAGCCCUCUCACUGUCCCGACUUUGGGACUGUUAUAUGAUAAGGACUUUCUGUGAGUCACUGUCUUUUAGAGUCUCUCUGUUUUAGCUGCCUGGACUUUAUCCUGAAUAAUAUGGCUGUUAUCAUGGG
rnacentral:lncRNA from 1 species